AAGCCCCAAAGGCCCCUUCUCUUUUCCCACUCAUCCCAUCCGGGGACAACUCAGGCUCUAACCAGAUCGCCAUCGGAUGCCUCGCCAAGAAUUUCCUGCCAGACUCCAUCACUUUCUCCUGGAAUGAUACAAACCACCAGAAUAUCGACAGCGCGAACUACUUGAAAUUUCCAUCGAUCUUGUCGGGUGGGACGUACACCACAGCAUCUCAGGCAAAAGUUGACCGGGCUGCCUGGGAUAACUAUAAAACAUUCUAUUGCCAAGCCGAUCACCCCAAGGGCAACCCAUCAAUCCCAGUUGUUCGACAAUAUGGGGGAUCAUCAGCAAAGGAACCUAUGAUGCUCGUCCGGGCACCAAUUAUUAGGGCCUUUUCCAGUAGCUACCUAAAUUCCACUGUCACCUGUGAAGUUAGUGACCUCUGCUCCCCAAACAUUGAGCUCCGUUGGUUUAAGGAGGAACGAGAAAUCACCACCGGCUUCACCACCGCCGAAGCCGUCCCAAAUAGCCAUGGGGGAUAUACCGUGUGGAGCAAACUUGUCAUCAUCAAGGAAGACUGGCUUUCUGAAAAGAAGUUCGCCUGUGACGUGAAAAGCAAGGCCUACAACCAUUCGGAAACCUUCAACAUAUUAUCUUUCUGCAAAGACACCAGUCACUGUGAAGAAGUUACCGUGGAAACCAUCCCCCCAACUUUUGCUGACAUGUUCCUGACCAACUCAGCCAACCUGACCUGCAGGAUCUCCAAUAUCCCCCUUAAUUCGGAUUAUUUGAAAUUGAAUGUCACCUGGACACGAGCAUCGGACCACAAGCAACUACACACGGCGAUGACCGAAUUCCUAGACCAGGGCAAUGAUUUUUACUAUGUCGAUGCGAUAACCACCAUGUGUGCAUCAGAAUGGAACGAACAGGAUACCUAUAUCUGCAAAGUGACAUUUGAAGACGUACUUGUCAAGCCAAUAGAAAAACCCCUGCAGAAGGAGAUUGUUGGCAAACCCAAAGCUCCUUCGAUCUACAUGUAUUCACCUUCAACAGAAGAGCUGAGUUUACAGGAAGACGCUACCAUCAUCUGCUACAUCAAAGGCUUCAAUCCCGGCAACCUAUUUGUGCGUUGGCUCAAGAAUGAAAAGGCGGUCAGCGAAUCAACAUACUUCACCAGCAAACCCAUAGCAGAGUCCAAAGUAUCAUCCAAAGAGUAUUUUGCCUACAGCAUGUUGACCGUCAACGCGCAGGAGUGGAAUGACGGAAGUUCCUUCACUUGCAUGGUGGGACAUGAAGCCUUCCCCUACAACUCAAGUCAGAAGACUAUAAACAAGCACACGG